rnacentral:miRNA from 1 species
UACGGCACUCUAUUUAUGGUACU